GCGUGAGUGAAGAAGGCCUUAGGGUUGUAAAGCUCUUUCGCUAGGGAAGAUAAUGACGGUACCUAGUAAAGAAGUCCCGGCUAACUCCGUGCCAGCAGCCGCGGUAAUACGGAGGGGACUAGCGUUGUUCGGAAUUACUGGGCGUAAAGAGUACGUAGGCUGUUUGUCAAGUUGGGUGUGAAAGCCCGGGGCUCAACCCCGGAACUGCACUCAAAACUGAUAGACUAGAGAUCGGAAGAGGUAAGUGGAAUUCCCAGUGUAGAGGUGAAAUUCGU
rnacentral:rRNA from 1 species